CGCGCAGGCGGCCUUUUAAGUUGGAUGUGAAAGCCUACGGCUCAACCGUAGAACUGCAUCCAAAACUACUAGGCUAGAGUGUGGGAGAGGAAGAUGGAAUUAGUUGUGUAGGGGUAAAAUCCGUAGAGAUAACUAGGAAUACCAAAAGCGAAGGCAAUCUUCUGGAACAUUACUGACGCUGAGGCGCGGAAGCGUGGGGAGCAAACA
rnacentral:rRNA from 1 species